CCUACGGGUGGCAGCAGUCGAGAAUCAUUCACAAUGGGGGAAACCCUGAUGGUGCGACGCCGCGUGGGGGAAUGAAGGUCUUCGGAUUGUAAACCCCUGUCAUGUGGGAGCAAAUUAAAAAGAUAGUACCCCAAGAGGAAGAGACGGCUAACUCUGUGCCAGCAGCCGCGGUAAUACAGAGGUCUCAAGCGUUGUUCGGAAUCACUGGGCGUAAAGCGUGCGUAGGCUGUUUCGUAAGUCGUGUGUGAAAGGCGCGGGCUCAACCCGCGGACGGCACAUGAUACUGCGAGACUAGAGUAAUGGAGGGGGAACCGGAAUUCUCGGUGUAGCAGUGAUAUGCGUAGAUAUCGAGAGGAACACUCGUGGCGAAGGCGGGUUCCUGGACAUUAACUGACGCUGAGGCACGAAGGCCAGGGGAGCGAAAGGGAUUAGAUACCCCGGUAGUC
rnacentral:rRNA from 1 species